rnacentral:rRNA from 1 species
CCUACGGGAGGCUGCAGUGGGGGAUAUUGCACAAUGGGGGAAACCCUGAUGCAGCGACGCCGCGUGAGUGAAGAAGUAUUUCGGUAUGUAAAGCUCUAUCAGCAGGGAAGAAAAUGACAGUACCUGACCAAGAAGCCCCGGCUAACUACGUGCCAGCAGCCGUGGUAAUACGUCGGGAGCAAGCGUUAUCCGGAUUUACUGGGUGUAAAGGGGGCGUAGACGGUUAUGUAGGUCUGGAGUGAAAGCCCGGGGCCCAACCCCGGGACUGCUUUGGAAACUGUGUAACUGGAGUAAAGGAGGGGCAGGCGGAAUGCCUGGUGUAGCGGUGAAAUGCGUAGAUAUCAGGAGGAACACCGGCUGCGAAGGCGGCCUGCUGGACUGAAACUGACGUUGAGGCUCGAAAGCGUGGGGAGCAAACAGGAUUAGAUACCCCAGUAGUC